CCCUUAAGGGAGAAUAGCUGUUUAAUUCCUCCCUAAAUCAUUAAUUCAACAAAUGUGUGCCGAGCAUAACUUUGUGUGUGCCAAGUAUAGCACUACGGGCUGAAGAGGAUAUAUGAAGAGCAAGUGUUGUUGGAAAUCAAAAUUAAUCAUAUCACUUUUUUAUUUUGCCUAUCUUUCAGAAGAAAGUUUGUCAAUACAUUCUUUUUUCUAGAAUAUCAGGAGAAAAAGAGAUAAUUUAUGAGUAUUCCAAGUGUCUUCCUCUACUGUCUAUUCUCCCAUCCAUUCAUCCAUCCAUCCAUCCAUCCAUCCAUCCAUCCACUCACCCCAACACUUUAAGAAUCCUUCCAACAUUUGAUCGUCUCCUUUGGACCAAGUGCUGUGCUUGGCACUGAUGAUACACACAGGAGACCCGCCCGAUGCCUGCAGGGAAGUCCCAGUCUAGGGGGCAUGGUCAUAUGACCAGACCGUGAACUAGAACAUCACUGUUAGAGUGGGAGCAUAUGCACAAUGCAAAAGUAACCAAGCCCGUAGUUUCUAGCAGCUGAGGUUGAUUGUGAGUUAAUUCAUGGAAUGGGUUUCUGUUUUUGAUAGCUGCUUUAAUUUCCUUUGGGUAUAUUUUCAAGGAAAUUUAAAAAAACAAAAUCCAGAAUCCAAUUUGAUAUGCACAAUCUUUUAAUCCUUUGGGGGCAUAUUUGGUCCUUCCAUUUCUCCACCUUCCUCCUUUAUCUUCAGGUUCCCGACCUUCUCCAAGGUGUGUUGCUGGUCUGUUUUCUUUGUUUAGUGCAUCCUGUGUUUUCUCUUCCCAUCCAGUGCCCCACUCAUGACAGGUGACAUUCCAGGACCCCAGAGAGCCUGGGCUGGCAGAGCAAACUGACAUGUGGGAGUGUGAGAGGCGGUCUUUGAGAGAAAAGGAAGAGGAAGAGGUAGAAACGGCAGUCUGAGAGAGCAGAAAGGGAGAAAGGGAAACAGGAAAGAAAGGACAAGGCAGAGAAGGAAGAAAAAAGAAAAAAAAAAAGCAACACCAGCCCUAAUCAGGUCUCUCCAGACCCGGUGUUGAGCAAUUUCUGUAACUGGGAGUCAGGUUUAGAAAAGGGCUGGCUGGAACAGUCCUUCCAAACACGGGGGCGAGGAGGAGCAGCAUUGCAGGAAUACCAGGAGACCUGACUCAUUCACCGAGCUGCAUCUUAAAGGGUGGAGCCUGGGCUGCCUGCUAAUUUAAUCCCCUGGGUUUCCCCCUCUGCCUUCAAGAGCUCACAGAGGAUGCGGGCUUCAUAAAGAGGGCACCUUUGUGUCUUCCUCCCCUGAAGGCCCCCAUCUACACUGGCAGCCAAGGGGAUGCUAUUUUGGGAAACAGCAGCUGAGUGGGGAGGAUUGUUAAUUGUUUGUCAGACCCUUCCAGUCUAGUUAGAGCUCAUGGAGGAAAAAAAAAGAGCAAAGCCAUAACCUUCAUUCUAUUUUACUCUCCCAUCUGUGAGCGGGGGUGGGGCUAAAUGGCUCCUUUUCCUCCCCCAGCACAGGCACACAAACUAAUGUUUUAACAAAACAAACCUAAUUCCUCUACCCAAUAGGAAACACAUAAACAAACAUAAUAUUGGCCCAAGAACCAAUCAAAGUAGUUUAAAAAUCAUUUAUAAGCCUCAAAACAAACACCCCCCCCCAAACCCAAACAAACAAAAAUCCCUGUCAUAACAGAAAAGAGACAUCAGGGGCUCUGCCAUCCCUUCCAACCAUAGCAUUUUAUUCAAACCACUGUGGCCAAACUGUCUAAGCAGAUCCCCUCUCCACCCAACAGCCAGUGACACACCCAAAAACAAUUCCACGCAGGCACGCUGAUCGGAAUAUCCGUGGUGACACGCACUCACUCCAUCACAGCGUGGACACAUUCAAAAUCAAACGGAAAGACUCAGACUGAGAAAAGGCUUCUCAAGACUCUGACCUCAGGGGCCCCCAUGUGACUCUGAAACUUCCUAAGCAUUACGUCAGCCCAACAGCCCAGAGAGGGAAAGGAGGGGAAAGACUGGGAACCAAAAUCUUAGGCUUCUUAAAAGGGCAAUGCCACAAAACAUUUCAUAACUAGUUUUUCUUCCUUGACCAAUUCUCAUAUGGAAGGAUGUCUAAUCCUACUUGACUUUUAAAGGGCACUUUUUUCCCCCACAAUGGUCUUUUGGCAUUUUCAGGGAAUGCCAAAAGGAAUUAUCUUUUAUUAAGAGAGGAGUUGGACUCAGAGAACUUUCCAAGUGACAAUGAUGCAGAGAAGACUAUGAGAGUGCUGCCUAUUUCACAAUCGUUCUUCCUGCAAAGAGCUCAGACUGCCUUACAACCAUAAAUUUGCUAUUCCACACACUAGCUCCUGGUUAGACAGCAGAUCUGAAACUUCCUUUUACAC
rnacentral:lncRNA from 1 species